rnacentral:rRNA from 1 species
GAUAAACGCUGGCGGCGUGCAUGAGACAUGCAAGUCGAACGAAGGAUCGGGCUUGCUCGAUCCUUAGUGGCGGACGGCUGAGUAACGCGUAGGUGACCUACCCCGAAGUGGGGAAUAACUGCCCGAAAGGGUGGCUAAUACCGCAUGUGGUCGCACGUUCAUUCGUGCGAGUAAAGCCGCAAGGCGCUUCGGGAGGGGCCUGCGUCCGAUUAGCUCGUUGGUGGGGUAAUGGCUUACCAAGGCGACGAUCGGUAGGUGGUCUGAGAGGACGAUCACCCAGACUGGGACUGAGACACGGCCCAGACUCCUACGGGAGGGAGCAGUCGGGAAUUUUGCUAAAUGGGGGAAACCCUGAAGCAGCAACGCCGCGUGAGGGAUGAAGGCCUUCGGGUUGUAAACCUCUUUUGUCAGGGACGAUGAUGACGGUACCUGGCGAAUAAGCCACGGCUAACUACGUG